GUAAAGCAAAUGAUCAGAAGUCUUGGAGUGUUCUUCACUUCAACUUAUUCUCAAACUCUAAAUGGACGCGGAGCAAAACCUUCUUCACGGAGGUUUUGACUAGAAUCUGGUCUCCAAGUGGGCCAUUUUUGGUAAGCAGAAUUGGCGACGCGGGAUGCACCGAAAGCGGACCUAUGGUAUCAAAGAAUCUGCUAACUAGACACCAUGAAGGGCGUUAGUUCAUCUAGACAGCAGGACCGUGGCCAUGAAAGUCGGAAUCGGCCAAGGAGUGUGUAACAACUCACCUGCCGAAUGCACCAGCCCCUAAAAUGGACGAUGCUCAAGCAGAUCACCUAUGGUACGCCGGCUAACUGGUAGUUUAAAGCCAGAGCCGCGUAGGAGGGCGUGGGGCACGAGCAGAAGCGUUUGGCGUAAGCCUGCGUGGAUCGUGCGCCUAGUGCAGAUCUUGGUGGUAGUAGCAAUUAUUCUGUCUGAGAACACAGAAGACUGAAGCGGAGUAGGUUUCCAUGAGAACAGUACUUGGACAUGGGUAAGUCGGUCCUAACCCCAGAGGAAAUCCUCCUUGGAAAGGCCUUUCAUGCUGCCCUCGUGGUAGUGUGUUGGCAACGGGGGAAAGGGAAUUCGGCCAACAUUCCGAAACCGGUUUGUGGGGAACUCAGAGGCUGCAAAGCAGUUGACAACGGCGGGUCCAGAGUAGUCUAGCCUGUGGAGAGUUCUCUUUUCUCUUUGACGUCGCUGGCGCCUCGAUUCUCAUUUCAGUUGGAGAAAGCGCGCCUGAACACAUAGAGAAAGCGGUGUACUUUCACACCGUUCGGUGCCUUGACUAUUCUUCAGAAAGCCCCGCCAGAGAUCUAUUUCUUCCCUCAUGAACUGACCGUACCGAUAACCGCAUCCGGACUCCGAGGUGAAUAGCCUCUGGUCAAUGGAGCAAUGUGACCAAGGGAAGUCGGCAAAAUAGAUGCGUAACUUCGGGAGAAGCAUUGGCUCCAAGGGCUGGACGGACGUGACGCUUUCUGCGGGUUUGCUUUGGUGAGUGACGGAUGCUGCCGCGGCUUCGGUUGUGGUGGCGUCCAUUGCUUGCUGGAGCUUUCUUGUCAGGAGGAUUGCACAGCCGUUUACAACAGCUAACCUGGAACUGGCGCUGAGAAGGGGAAUCCAACUGUUUAAUUGAAACAUAGCAUUGAGAGAUGGCAUGUUGAGGUCGUCGUAGACUCAAGGUGCGUCCUGCCCAGUGCUCUGAAUGUCAUUGCAAAGAGAUUUUUCCAAGCUCGGGUAAACGGCGGGAGUAACUAUGACUCUCUUAAGGUAGCCAAAUGCCUCGUCUUCUAAUUAAAGACGCGCAUGAAUGGAUUAAUGAGAUUCCCACUGUCCCUGGUUACUAUCCAGCGAACCCACAGUCAAGGGAACGGGCUUGAAGUCUUCAGCGGGGAAAGAAGACCCUGUUGAGUUUGACUCUAAUCUGGACUUGUGCAGCGACACCUUCGUUGUAGUAUAGGUGGGAGGUUUACCAACAGUGAAAUACCACUACUUAGGUAGUUGCUUUGCUCAUCGCAUGAGAAUGGAACGGCAGCCGCCGGCUCCUCGUGGGUCGGUUAGAGACGUGCUCUCGUAGCGCUUCUCGGUGCUUAACCGUUUAUUAUUGUAAGCCCU
rnacentral:rRNA from 1 species